rnacentral:rRNA from 1 species
CGGUAAUACGAAGGGGGCUAGCGUUGUUCGGAAUUACUGGGCGUAAAGCGCACGUAGGGAUAUUUAAGUCAGGGGUGAAAUCCCGCAGCUCAACUGCGGAACUGCCUUUGAUACUGGGUAUCUUGAGUAUGGAAGAGGUAAGUGGAAUUCCGAGUGUAGAGGUGAAAUUCGUAGAUAUUCGGAGGAACACCAGUGGCGAAGGCGGCUUACUGGUCCAUUACUGACGCUGAGGUGCGAAAGCGUGGGGAGCGAAUGGGAUUAGAUACCCGUG